AGUGGCGGACGGGUGAGUAACACGUGAGCAACCUGCCUUUCAGUGGGGGACAACAGUUGGAAACGACUGCUAAUACCGCAUAACGUGCCAGAGGGGCAUCCUUUUGGUACCAAAGAUUUAUCGCUGAAAGAUGGGCUCGCGUCUGAUUAGAUAGUUGGUGAGGUAACGGCCCACCAAGUCGACGAUCAGUAGCCGGACUGAGAGGUUGAUCGGCCACAUUGGGACUGAGACACGGCCCAGACUCCUACGGGAGGCAGCAGUGGGGAAUAUUGGACAAUGGGGGAAACCCUUAUCCAGCGACGCCGCGUGAGGGAAGAAGGUUUUCGGAUUGUAAACCUCUGUCAGUGGGGACGAUAAUGACGGUACCCACGGAGGAAGCCACGGCUAACUACGUGCCAGCAGCCGCGGUAAUACGUAGGUGGCAAGCGUUGUCCGGAAUUACUGGGUGUAAAGGGAGCGUAGGCGGGAGGAUAAGUUGAAUGUGAAAUCUAUGGGCUCAACCCAUAGCUGCGUUCAAAACUGUUCUUCUUGAGUGAAGUAGAGGCAGGCGGAAUUCCUAGUGUAGCGGUGAAAUGCGUAGAUAUUAGGAGGAACACCAGUGGCGAAGGCGGCCUGCUGGGCUUUUACUGACGCUGAGGCUCGAAAGCGUGGGUAGCAAACAGGAUUAGAUACCCUGGUAGUCCACGCGGUAAACGAUGAUUACUAGGUGUGGGUGGACUG
rnacentral:rRNA from 1 species